CGUCAGAGGCGAUGAAGGGCGUGCUAAUCUGCGAUAAGCGCCGGUAAGGUGAUAUGAACCGUUAUAACCGGCGAUACCCGAAUGGGGAAACCCAGUGUGAUUCGUCACACUAUCAUUAACUGAAUCCAUAGGUUAAUGAGGCGAACCGGGGGAACUGAAACAUCUAAGUACCCCGAGGAAAAGAAAUCAACCGAGAUUCCCCCAGUAGCGGCGAGCGAACGGGGAGGAGCCCAGAGCCUGAAUCAGCAUGUGUGUUAGUGGAAGCGUCUGGAAAGGCGCGCGAUACAGGGUGACAGCCCCGUACACAAAAGCGCAUGUGCUGUGAGCUCGAUGAGUAGGGCGGGACACGUGGUAUCCUGUCUGAAUAUGGGGGGACCAUCCUCCAAGGCUAAAUACUCCUGACUGACCGAUAGUGAACCAGUACCGUGAGGGAAAGGCGAAAAGAACCCCGGCGAGGGGAGUGAAAAAGAACCUGAAACCGUGUACGUACAAGCAGUGGGAGCACCCUUCGGGGUGUGACUGCGUACCUUUUGUAUAAUGGGUCAGCGACUUAUAUUCUGUAGCAAGGUUAACCGAAUAGGGGAGCCGGAGGGAAACCGAGUCUUAACCGGGCGUUAAGUUGCAGGGUAUAGACCCGAAACCCGGUGAUCUAGCCAUGGGCAGGUUGAAGGUUGGGUAACACUAACUGGAGGACCGAACCGACUAAUGUUGAAAAAUUAGCGGAUGACCUGUGGCUGGGGGUGAAAGGCCAAUCAAACCGGGAGAUAGCUGGUUCUCCCCGAAAGCUAUUUAGGUAGCGCCUCGUGAAUUCAUCUCCGGGGGUAGAGCACUGUUUCGGCUAGGGGGCCAUCCCGGCUUACCAACCCGAUGCAAACUGCGAAUACCGGAGAAUGUUAUCACGGGAGACACACGGCGGGUGCUAACGUCCGUCGUGAAGAGGGAAACAACCCAGACCGCCAGCUAAGGUCCCAAAGUCAUGGUUAAGUGGGAAACGAUGUGGGAAGGCCCAGACAGCCAGGAUGUUGGCUUAGAAGCAGCCAUCAUUUAAAGAAAGCGUAAUAGCUCACUGGUCGAGUCGGCCUGCGCGGAAGAUGUAACGGGGCUAAACCAUGCACCGAAGCUGCGGCAGCGACACUGUGUGUUGUUGGGUAGGGGAGCGUUCUGUAAGCCUGUGAAGGUGUGUCGUGAGGCAUGCUGGAGGUAUCAGAAGUGCGAAUGCUGACAUAAGUAACGAUAAAGCGGGUGAAAA
rnacentral:rRNA from 1 species